GAAAAAGAACAAAACAAAAUCCGUUGCGUCCGUAGUAUUAUCCUUUUGCAGUGUCUGGCCGUCGCGCUCUCGCCGUCUCGCUGCCGGCUGCCGGCUGCCCCUCCCCCUCGCCGCGCCCGAUUUCUCCGCCAACUCCCAUACCCAAGUUCUAGGGAAAGAUACACUGCUCCGAUGGCGGUCAGAGUUCCGUCCAUGGAGCUGAACCGCUCCCCGCCGCUCCUCUCCGGCGGCAGAGGCAAAACAUGCCUUCAGAAGCCUUUCAUUGUCCAAGCAAAGAGAUCAGGUGGAUUGGAGAAAGCAAAUACUAGGUCACGAGGACCGCAAGCUUCUGAAAAACUCAAGAAAAGAGAACCCCUGACUCGUGGGACUGUUAGUGCGCCUCUUCCGGUACCAGGACACAUACCUCGACCUCCUUACGUUGGAUCAAACAAAAUGCCCGAGAUAUCGAGUGAGAGACAAAUGCAGGACAAAGACACCAUCGUGCACAUGAAAGCUGCAUGUGAGCUUGCUGCUCGUGUUCUUCAAAAUGCAGGGAAAUUAGUCAAACCCUCUGUAACAACAGACGAAAUUGAUAAAGCAGUGCACAAGAUGAUCAUUGAUGCUGGAGCCUAUCCAUCCCCGCUUGGAUACGGUGGGUUUCCAAAAAGUGUAUGCACAUCAGUGAACGAAUGCAUGUGCCAUGGUAUUCCUGAUUCACGAGAACUAAAGGAUGGAGACAUAAUUAACAUCGAUGUCACUGUCUACUUGAACGGUUUUCAUGGGGAUACCUCUAAAACGUUUUUCUGUGGAGAAGUUGACGAAGCUGCUAAAAGACUUGUGAAGGUUACUGAAGAGUGCAUGCUUAGGGGCAUAUCAUCCUGCAAACACGGUGUGAGCUUUAAGAAAAUCGGCAGAAGAAUAAGCGAGCAUGCUGAGAGGAAUGGAUUUGGUGUCGUGGAGCAAUUUGUUGGGCAUGGAGUUGGCAGAGUUUUUCAUUCACAACCAAUUAUAUAUCACCAGCGCAACAACAUGCCAGGGCAGAUGGUUGAAGGCCAGACGUUCACAAUAGAGCCGAUCCUGACCAUGGGAAGCAACAGCAACAGCAUCGAGUGCGACAUGUGGGAGGACGGCUGGACGGCGGUGACGACGGACGGCAGCCUGGCGGCGCAGUUCGAGCACACCAUCCUCAUCACCAGGACCGGCGCAGAGAUCCUAACCAAAUGCUAGCAAAGCCAGCGCUGAAGGCGUACGGAUCCUGACCGCGUAGAUCACGUGAUUUCUUCUUAUGUUGUAUGCCAAAGCAUCACUGGAACAGCUGCUUACGUAUAACCGAUGAUUUUUGGCAGCGGCAAAGAGCUCCAGGCUUCCUCUGGCACACUAUGCCCGGUGUUUUGCUGAACGGGGCCGAGGAUCUGCAUGGCCUACAUCGCUGACUUGCCGUUGCGUGCGCUAGUAUUUCGUCGGCCUGGGUGGGGGCACGAGAACGACCACCGCCAGUGCACCACGCGACGCACCCCCUUUUUUUGGAAAAGUACUCACAGUAUUAUAAAAGGUUCAUUGGAAGUAUAAAACACUUUUUUUUUGCGAGUGAAAAAUUUGUAUUACUCAACCAUCAAAGUUACAAUCAGCAAGAGCCAGC
rnacentral:rRNA from 1 species